rnacentral:rRNA from 1 species
GACGUAGGGCGCGAGCGUUUGUCCGGAUUUAUUGGGCGUAAAGAGCUCGUAGGCGGCUUGUCGCGUCGAAUGUGAAAACUCGGGGGCUCAACUCCGAGCUUGCAUUCGAUACGGGCAGGCUAGAGUUCGGUAGGGGGAGACUGGAAUUCCUGGUGUAGCGGUGAAAUGCGCAGAUAUCAGGAGGAACACCGGUGGCGAAGGCGGGUCUCUGGACAGUUCCUGACACUGAGACACGAAG